UACAGAGGUGGCAAGCGUUGUUCGGAAUUACUGGGCGUAAAGGGCGCGUAGGCGGUUCGUUAAGUCCUGUGUGAAAUCCCCCGGCUCAACUGGGGAACUGCACAGGAAACUAGCGGGCUUGAGUUCGGGAGAGGGAAGCGGAAUUCCGGGUGUAGCGGUGAAAUGCGUAGAUAUCCGGAGGAACACCGGUGGCGAAGGCGGCAUUCUGGACCGAUAUUGACGCUGAGGAGCGAAAGCCAGGGGAGCAAACGGG
rnacentral:rRNA from 1 species